rnacentral:hammerhead_ribozyme from 1 species
AGCACACUAAGCCCUGCUGACGAGGCCUAAGGGGCCGAAACCGGGGCAACCCGGUCCAGGGCAAAAAUCAAA